rnacentral:rRNA from 1 species
AACGAACGCUGGCGGCAGGCUUAACACAUGCAAGUCGAACGCCCCGCAAGGGGAGUGGCAGACGGGUGAGUAACGCGUGGGAAUCUACCCAUCUCUGCGGAAUAGCUCUGGGAAACUGGAAUUAAUACCGCAUACGCCCUACGGGGGAAAGAUUUAUCGGGGAUGGAUGAGCCCGCGUUGGAUUAGCUAGUUGGUGGGGUAAAGGCCUACCAAGGCGACGAUCCAUAGCUGGUCUGAGAGGAUGAUCAGCCACAUUGGGACUGAGACACGGCCCAAACUCCUACGGGAGGCAGCAGUGGGGAAUGUUGGACAAUGGGCGCAAGCCUGAUCCAGCCAUGCCGCGUGAGUGAUGAAGGCCUUAGGGUUGUAAAGCUCCUUCACCGAUGAAGAUAAUGACGGUAGUCGGAGAAGAAGCCCCGGCUAACUUCGUGCCAGCCGCCGCGGUAA